rnacentral:rRNA from 1 species
AACGAACGCUGGCGGCAUGCCUAACACAUGCAAGUCGAACGAGACCUUCGGGUCUAGUGGCGCACGGGUGCGUAACGCGUGGGAACCUGCCCUUAGGUUCGGAAUAACUCCCCGAAAGGGGUGCUAAUACCGGAUAAUGUCUUCGGACCAAAGAUUUAUCGCCUUUGGAUGGGCCCGCGUUGGAUUAGCUAGUUGGUAGGGUAAAAGCCUACCAAGGCGACGAUCCAUAGCUGGUCUAAGAGGAUGAUCAGCCACACUGGGACUGAGACACGGCUCAGACUCCUACGGGAGGCAGCAGUGGGGAAUAUUGGACAAUGGGCGAAAGCCUGAUCCAGCAAUGCCGCGUGAGUGAUGAAGGCCUUAGGGUUGUAAAGCUCUUUUACCCGGGAUGAUAAUGACAGUACCGGGAGAAUAAGCUCCGGCUAACUCCGUG